UAUAUAUUGCGCAACAGAGGAAGGGCAGUGCUCCUCCUCCCUGCACGUUAGUUUGAGCAAGCAGGGCCAGCAUUCAUCCAGCGUUAGCUGAAAGUGCAGCAUUCCCGUGUAGCCUCGGAGAGAGAGAGAGAGAGAGAGAGAGAUGUUUUCCUGCAGAGCGGCCUGGCAGAGGUGUGGGCCUUUGGCACGGAGAGCAGCCAACAGACUGCCCCGGGAUGCUGUGCAGCGGCGGCAGAUGUCAUCGAUACCCGGUGGCUCUGGGGAGAACAUCGUGUAUGCCCUGCUGUGUGGAGGAGCCUUUGCAGGCGCUAUCUCAUAUGUAUACAGCACAGUGUCCUCAGACAGCGCCAGGUUCAAUGAGCGUGUAGCAGAAAUCAAAGCCAGACCCAAGACGGAGUGGGUCCCCAAACCAUGGCCCCCAAAGAGAGAUGAAGAAGAAGAAGAAGAAGAGGUGUAAUGCUAAAGCUAAGGUCCUCUGUGGCCGCUGGGAUAAUCGUCCUAGAACUGGACUCUUUGGAUCUGAACCCCCUCUCUCCUCCUUUCCUCCUCUCCUGUACUGCUAAGAAUGAAACAGAUUUCACCUUUGACCUCUGGACAGUGUGAGGGAUACUCACUCAGUCUGUGCUGCUGCUGCUGCUGCUGUCUUCUUUUGUGUGCUCGUGUUCCUCUGUGAUGAAGAUGAAUGGACUUCUGUCAUCACACACACCCUCACAGAUCUUUAUGAUGAUGAUGAUGGACUGUUAUUUUGAGCUCUGGGUGUGAGUGUUUCCUGUGGGACAGUUCCAGUCGGUCAACUUAACUUCUGAGCGUCUGUGUUGUGAGCGAUGACUCUGUUAUCCAAAGAGCUCCGUUAGUGGAUUUAGCCACAGUCAAAACUUCACUGCGUGUCUGUGUUUAAGAUCUGGACGAAGACUUCAUGCAGGUCUGCUGGGUCAGUUAGUCGUUGAGAAGCUGUCUUGGUUUGUUUGAGCGUGUGGUUGGUUUGACUGACAGCUGGGUGUGAUGGAGCUGCUUGUUAGGCAGAAAGUUUACGACCUCAGCUCCACCUCUCUGCAAGUUUAUAGCUGUGCUGGAAGUCAGGUGGAUCUAUCUGUGGGAGUUAUCCUCCUCAGAAGUCAGUGAGUGAAGUCUGUGUCCAUGUUUUAUACAGUCUGACUCUGCACCGUAGACCCAUCAGGAUCAUGUUCAGAGUUCACGAAUCAAAGGAGGAGUGGGCUCAGGUUAUCAGAGACUUUGUUUCCAUCAGAGAGAAUGCAGGUUUGAGACACUUCAGAAGAAAGGACUUUAAUCCACCUCUCAGAUGAAGUCCUCUGAUCCAGUAUCACAGCAGGGGAGCGUAGUGUGUCAGGAUUUAUCCUGUGGGCAGUAAAAUGAGUGGAUUACAGUCAGUCCCACAGUUAUUAAAACGUUCUCUACAAGCUAACAUGUCAGCUAACAUGUCAGCUAACAUGUCAGCUAACAUGUCAGCUAACAUGUCAGCUAACGUGUCAGCUAACGUGUCAGCUAACAUGUUGGCUGGGGGCCUUUAGUUAGUAAACAUCAUAAUUAGCACAAAGAUAAACAACUAGAUUACUCCUGGAUUAGCAUAUUACAUGACUGCCAGCCACUUGCUGUAAUCCUCAUCCCCAAUCCCUGAGCUCCGGGAUCUGCAGGUCCAUGUGUGAGCCUGAGUGUGAUGAGGAAGAAGGAUGUCUGUUUAGCUCCACACAUAGUUAUUAUAUUAGCAUGCUAAAGGCCAUGCUAGCAUUUAUCCUUCAACAGAUGGAAUAAAGAGAUAGGAUGAGGAGGGACCACUUAGGACUAUUGAAUCCUUUCAAAUUAAAAGCAUGUUUAAAACCAGAAUCUAGAUGUUAUACAAUAAAAAGGCAAAAUAAAAGCAUCACGAAUAACUCCUGUAUAAGACAUCCCUAAAGCGUGAACAUAAACAGGGUUACUUACACUUGUAAAUAAUAGAUAAAUCAUACGGUGAACCCAGCAUCCUGAAUCAUGAGUUGAUGGUAACCUCUGUUUAGCCUGGCUCUUUUACUCUGCAGGUUAUUGUUUGGUAUUUCUAAAUGAUGUAACUCACAGAGAGCCUUCAACUGGGAGGAAGAGCCAGAGUGCAAGCUCAAGUGUUUGCAUUCAGCUUAUUGUUAUCACAUGCCAUCAUAGACGCUCAGAGUCACAGUUGACCUUAAGGUCUGUCUCCCAUGGCUGUUUUGUGUGUGAGUGUGUGUAUGUGUGUUAAUGGAUAAAGUAGAACAAAUGGUGGAAAGUAUCUCUGUUAAAGAAUAAAGACGCACAACCUCCAUGGCUGUCUCAGUGUCUCUCAGACUCCCUCUCAGCUCCAGAUUACUGAUAGCUUGUAAAUGUGAUGGUAAGAACAAAGAUUCAACUUCACCCUCUCUACCCUGCACCCCCCCCUCUCCCUUCCUCCCCCUCCCUCAUGUCUUUGUUGUGCCCCUCCUUGACUUUGAGUUUGCAUGCAGCUUGUCUUGUAAACAUGUCGCCUCUGGGCCUCUCCGAUGAUUUAUUCACAGAGGCAGCGGUAAGGAUUGGAAGCAGCACUUCUGGACUGACCUGCUGUAGAAAUGAUGAGCUGUUAGUAGCUGUGUUUCCAUCCAACCAUCCCACUAAUUGAGUCGGAGUAUAAGGAUAGCAGAGACUUAUGUGAUGGGUAUACAAAUGUGACAUUCUGACCUAAACACAGGAAACAAGACCUCCAGCAACAUUACAUCUUUACCUUUUACACAGAAUUUAACAUCCCAUAAACUAAAGUGGAUCUGUAAUAUAUAUCAGUGAAAGGGCUGAACCAGUUUUAUGCUAGCUGUCUAGUUUGUAGUUUUUCAAGGAUGUAGUCAUUGGACUACAUUAUGUAUUUAAUGCAACCCUUAUUUUGAAGGAGUGUUGAGAAACACUCAUUUUUGAGGAAAGAGCUCAAGACGUUUUUAACUUGUAGGAUGAAACAGUCAAGAAACAAAGGUCAGCAGCAGCUCAGCUGGCAUGAAGAAGUGCAGACACACUUAUCUUUAAUGUUAACUAGCUUUAUUACUACUCUGUCUGCUGGCUCUCGGGAGGAGGGGAGAGUUGUGGAUGGAUUUGGCUCUCUUAGAAACCUCCUAUUGAACCUGGAGAAACUUUAAAAACUGGAGGAAUCCCCAGCAGCAGCUCAGCUGGCAGCCCCUCUGGACAUCAUCUGUCCAUCAAGGAGGGGAUUUAUUUCUUAAAAACAUCCUAAACUUUAAAAUGUGGUGUAAUCCUCACAAAAACUAGCUACCUUUUUAGAAUAAGCUAGCAGCAGCUCGGCUAGCCCCUCCUGACGUCCUGCGUCCAUCAAUAGGAGGAGAAACUGAUUUUUCAUGUUAAAGAGCUUUUGAAGCACUUUGUCUGUUGGCUCCCUGAAGGAGGAGACUGCUGUGGAAGGAUCUGAGUCAGAUAAAAACCUCCUAAACUCUAAGAACUGAAGGAGUCAUCACAAAAACGAUGAGCUACCUAAAGAAAAAGUAGGCUUGUAGCAGCUCUGUUAGCGGCCCCCUCCGAUGUCCUCGCCCGUAGAGGUGGCUGAGAGAGACACAGAUUUUUAACACAGUCGUGGUUUGUACUACACAACAGGCUGAGUACCUGUGUGUCCUCUCAGGUGAACUGAAACAUCGCUCUGUGUGCUGCACUUCAAACAUCUUGGAUGGAAACCCAGCUACUGAGAGGAUCUGACCCAGCUUUAAUCAUCUGCCUUUUAAACACUGUUAGUUUCAUUCCCCUGAUGUGUGUUCAUGCAUCAGAGCUUCACACUGAUCGUGUCUGUAGAAGACUCACAGUUUCUUCAUCUGUGAUCAGUGUGGUUUAACGCAGUGAGUGUAGAGAUUACUGGCUGCUUACUGUGACAUAAAUUAACAAAUGACAGAGACAUAACUGCUCCAGCUCACACUCGUCCUCUGCUUCUUGUGUUCCAGGUGGAGAGGAGGCUGGAGAAGAAGCUGCCGCUGAGGAGGCUGGUGGCGAGGAAGAGGCUGCUGGAGAGGAAGAGGCUGCUGGAGAGGAAGAAGUGGCUGCAGCUGCUGAUGGUGAAGGUGAGGUGGAGACCGUAGCAGAGGAGGUGGAGGAGCUGGUUGCUGAGGCUGCAGAGGUUGUUGCUGAGGUUGCAGAGGAGGUUGCGGAGGCUGCCCAGGAAGUGGAGGCAGUCGCAGAAGAAGUCGCUGAGGCAGCCAAAGCUGUGGAGGAGGCCGCCGAGGCCGUCGCAGAAGCAGCCCGCGAACCAGCCGCUGAACCAGCCGCCGUCGCAGAGGAGCCCGAAAGCAACGUAUCGCUGGCAGCUGCCUCUACUCUAGAGGUCCUGAAGAUAGCCGAAGCACUGGAAGAGUUGGCUCCAGCUGCUGAAGACGUCAAAGAGGAAGGGUCCUCUGCCCCAGUAGACAUUGCACCAGAGGCUGAAGAAGCCCCCGCACCAGUAGAGGUCACAUCAGAAGAAGCUCCUGCACCAGUAGAGGUUGCACCAGUGGUUGAAGAAGCUCCUGCACCAGGAGAGGUUGCACCAGUGGUUGAAGAAGCUCCUGCACCAGUAGAGGUUGCACCAGUGGUUGAAGAAGCUCCUGCACCGAUAGAGGUUGCACCAGUGGAAGUUGUGCCAGAAGAAGCUCCUGCACCAGUGGAGGUUGCACCAGUGGCUGAGGAGACUCCUGCCCCAGUGGAAGUUGCACCAGUGGCUGAAGAGGCUCCUGCACCAGUAGAGGUUGCACCAGUGGCAGAAGAAGCUCCUGCACCAGUAGAAGUUGCACCAGUGGCUGAGGAAGCUCCUGCACCAGUAGAGGUUGCACCAGUGGCUGAGGAAGCUCCUGCACCAGUAGAAGUUGCACCAGUGGCUGAGGAAGCUCCUGCACCAGUAGAAGUUGCACCAGUGGCUGAGGAAGCUCCUGCACCAGUAGAGGUUGCACCAGUGGUUGAAGAAGCUCCAGCCCCAGUAGAAGAGAGCCCUCUACCGGUUGGAGAAUCCGUUGCACUUGAGGCACCAGCUCCAGUAGAGCCUGAAGUCCCCUCCGCUCUAGCCGAGGAACCUGUUGACACCCCAAUUGCAGAGGAAGUUGCAGCUGCAGCCCCUGUUGCAGAAGCAGCUCCUGUUGCAGCAGCUGCCAUCGCUGUGGUGGAAGAGGCCGUUGCAGCCCCUGUGGAGGCUGAAGCUGCAGCCCCUAAGAGAGAGUACUUUGUUGUGGUUCUUGAAGGUGCUCCCAAAUCAGAAAAUCGGCCCAAGGUGCUGGGAGUGGGGCCCAUGACCGGUAGAAUCAUCGCAGCUCCAGAUGAAGAUGCCCAUUCUUCUGAGUAAACGGCUCCUGAAUGAAGACUGUCCUGCAGAAGAAGAGGAUGUGCCUUUCUCCCGCUCUGUCCCUCCUCCUCCUCCUCCUCCUCCUCCUCCUCCUCCUCCUCCUCCUCCUCCUCCUCCUCCUCCUCCUCUCACCUAUAGAAACACAGCAGGCUGACAUGUUUAGAUCAACCUCAUCCCAACACUUCAGAAGACACUCCGCUCUGACUCAGACUCUGUAGUUUUACACAUCCUUUUAUAACUUCAAUGUUUCACCUCCUGUUUACUGCUGAAGACAAAACUGAGCCACGUGUGCAGUCAUCUUUCUCUGUGAUUAAAGCUCAACGCCCGAUCGCUGCCCAGACACCUGUGAUAUGAACCUCCAGUGAAACUAACCACCAGCAAUCUUUCCAGAACUCAACCUCAGGUUUCUUCUUCUUCUUCGGCUGGAAACUCUCUCUCUCUCUCUGUUCUUGUGAUAUUUAUGCAGAAACACUUUCACUGGCUCGUUCUGUAGUUGUGUCUCUACCUCAGUUUGCCUCGUGUUCUUAGUCUACAAUGACCCGUCAGACCUCUCCUUGAUGCUUUUAAUGUUACAGAAGCCUCUUACUUCAAUAUGCACGACUUUUAGAUGAUCAGGAAAACAACUUCUCCAGCAAAACUCUCGUUACUUCCCCUUCAUCUGUGCGAUCCUUUUAAUGGAGAGUUGAGAGAAAUAAAGGGAACAUGCUCUGCACGGACUCCUGUUGUAAAAAUGACAGCACAGAAAGCUGCAAUAGAAAAGAAGGAAGUGUUCUGCAUUCUGCAUUUUCAGAAAAGUAGAGGUUAAAGGUCAUCAUGAUACUGCUGAAGUACCGGGCAUCAGAAAAUCAGGAAGGUUUUUUUAAGAUUUUUUCAUUUUGAAACUAAAGUUAAAAUGUCAACAUUUAAAUGUAGAGACUGAAGAUCAACUUUAGUUAAAAGAAACAUUCUGACUUUAUUUAUUGUCUUUGUUUCCAGAGAGAUCAUGCAGACACAAUGACUUGCCUUCCUUUGCCCUUCACUUAGACUCAAAGUUUAUGUGUAACAUCAACAACUUCUCAAAGUCUUGGCCCUUCUACUUUUCUGAAUGUGGGAGCCGUGCUCUGAGGUGUUUUCAUCCCAACAUACAGAGUUCAGUCCCCUUACAUCCUCCAGACCGUCAGAUGAGUUCACAGUGAACAUACGAACACUGGGAACAUCCUCCUGAUAUCCAGCCGCUCAGUGAUAACUCAGAGAUGUAAAGUUCUUCUGUGAGCUUUACUCUUCCUCCUCGUAGACUCAAAGAAGAUGAAAGUGUUUUUAAAAAGUUACAUUUCAGCGUCUCCCAUCAGAGGACACUUUUCUUUGACUCCUUCCUUCACUGGUAGCGUCUCAUGUUUUCGCUCUUGCAGUCACACCCGUGUGGAUGUUUUAUUUAAAGGCUUGCAGUAAGUUGGACUGCGGUGACGCUGAUGUGCCGGUGUGAAAGGAAAUGUGUGUCGUCCACCUCUCUCUCUUCCUCUGCUCCUCUCUCUCGUCUUCUCCACGUUGUGUUUCUGUCUUCGUUAGCUCCACAUCGCGGUGUGGAAACAGACCUGGGAUCAAAGAGGGAAUCUGAACACAAGUGUUAGAAUGUAUUUUAAAAAUGGGAAGCUGGUUUAGAAUUGACACUCUGUUUCUCCUCGCUGCUCGCAGGCAGGUUUCUGUAAUAGGACGUGAGUGAAUGCCUCUGACUCGGCACAAACUGUGACUGUGUCAAACAUUUCUGUGUCUCCUGUUUUAAAAAAUAAAAGAGGAAUUAAAUGUGA